CGUAUAAACAAAUUUCAAAUAAUAAAUAUAAUAAUUAAAAUUAAUAAUAUCUAUAAAAAAGUUAAUGCAAAACACAUUUACAACUAUACUAUAUACAUAAAAUAUUAAUAAUUCAUUUAUUUGUCUGCUCAAACUAAAUGUUCAUCGCAGAAACUUUUGCAUAUUUUUAGAAUCUGUCCAUCAGUUUGCUGUGCGUGAAAAAACUGAAAUUUUCUGAUUGUGACCAAUAUCAUCGUUUCCAUGUGGAGGAUAUAAAUUUCAAAUAAAAUCCAUUUGGCUGCCACAAAUAUAAAAAAUAAAAAAAUAACUUAUAAUUAACACAUCGUCAUUCAUACUUGCAUACAUUCAUAUGUAUAUAUUUACAUGCGAGAACAUACAUACAUGUAUAUAAUUAGAUAAAGUCUGUUGUAAUAAAGUAAAUUAUAAAAGUAAUAGUCCAUCAAGAAAACUUCAUUAGAAUAAAAAAUAUACAUAUUUUGUUGCAACAUCUCAAAAGAAGUAACUCAACAAAGAAAAAUCUGUGAUUUAAGUUUAAAAGACAGUAACAACAAACAUCCCUAGGACAACAAAUUUUUAUCUGCAAAACUUCUAGAAUAUCGAAAUCUUAGUUAAAUUAUUCAGAUUUUUAUGAAUUAAUGGUUUAUGUUAACAAAGCAAAGGAUCAAUAGAUGAAAUGUAGCGCGGUUCUAUGGUCGGCGAACGUGAUAGAGACCGUGAAACGGUACGCUGGGAAACGGGUGCGUCAACACCACCGACCCAAUACAAUAAUGGAGUAUUACAAAUGGUGGGACAAUUGCAUGGUGGACAGGCUACAAGCCAACAACAACAGCAGCAACAACAACAAACAAUACAACGUGAUUCACAACAGCAGCAGCAGCAACAACAACCGACACAACAAAUCAUACCAAAACAAAAACAAAUACAGCAACAGGAAUUUAACUAUCAACAACAAUCCAACAGCUGGAUCGAUAACGAAACUCUUGGACGCAACAGUGCAACAUCAACUACAACAACGGCCAAUAUCGGAGACGGCUGUGAUAAUCAACCCUACUACGACACCAGCGGUAAUGUCGAUUGGGGCCGGGCGAUGGGAACCGGUGGAACUGGUGCAUACAUUGGCGGCGAUGGAUCUAUCCCAACAGCUGGCAGUAUUGCUUAUAACGCUAGUCAAGGUACUACAGCCGCGCGAGGUACCGGCAUCAAUACCAGCGCCGCUACUGGUGUCAACAUGGAUUAUAUUGAUGGUAGCAGCAUUGCUGGCGCAUCCGCCACAACUACACACACUGCUGGCGGUAUGGCAAGUGGCAGUACGGCGAACGCUGUCGGUUGGUCAAACGAUGUCACACUGGUUGGCGUGCCUGGCAGUACGGCCAUUACGACUACAACUUCUGGUUCGGGCACUGGCAAAGAAGUUCGCUACGCUCCAUUCCCCAUCACCUCACCCACACAUUCGAAUCCCACUACUUCCCAACUGCACCAGGGUGCCAUUAAUGCUGGCGCUCUACAACGGACACAUUCCAGAUCAAUGUCCUCCAUCCCGCCGCCGGAACCUUUUAUGAUAGCACAGUCGAAGCAAAUGAACAGUCGCGUAUCCAUCAACGUGGGCGGAGUCAAACACGAAGUCCUCUGGCGCACCCUCGAACGUCUCCCCCACACACGUCUCGGCCGCCUUCACGAAUGCACGACCCAUGAAGCUAUCAUAGAGUUGUGCGAUGACUAUUCACUGGUCGACAACGAGUACUUCUUCGACCGUCAUCCCAAAAGUUUUAGUUCCAUUUUAAAUUUCUAUCGUACGGGUAAAUUGCACAUUGUCGACGAGAUGUGUGUGCUGGCCUUCAGCGAUGAUCUCGAGUAUUGGGGCGUCGAUGAACUCUACCUGGAGUCGUGCUGUCAGCACAAGUACCAUCAGCGCAAAGAAAACGUACACGAAGAAAUGCGCAAAGAAGCCGAAUCGCUACGACAAAGAGACGAAGAAGAAUUUGGUGAAGGUAAAUGCGCUGAAUAUCAGAAAUACUUAUGGGAAUUGCUAGAAAAACCGAAUACAAGUUUUGCCGCCAGGGUUAUCGCUGUGAUAUCCAUACUAUUUAUAGUCCUGUCUACCAUAGCCCUGACGUUGAACACCCUACCACAGUUACAACAUUAUGAUAAUGAUACGGGUACACCAACAGAUAAUCCACAAUUGGCUAUGGUUGAGGCCGUUUGUAUAUCGUGGUUUACGCUAGAGUAUAUACUUAGGUUUAGUGCGUCGCCAGACAAGUGGAAGUUUUUUAAAGGCGGCUUAAAUAUAAUCGAUCUAUUGGCAAUACUCCCUUAUUUUGUUUCCCUGUUUUUGUUGGAGACAAACAAGAAUGCUACGGACCAGUUCCAGGAUGUGCGCCGGGUGGUGCAAGUUUUUCGCAUCAUGCGCAUCCUGCGAAUCCUUAAGCUGGCCCGUCACUCAACGGGCCUGCAGUCGUUAGGCUUUACCCUACGCAAUUCAUAUAAGGAACUCGGUCUACUAAUGCUGUUCCUGGCUAUGGGCGUUCUCAUAUUUUCUUCGCUGGCAUAUUUUGCCGAAAAGGAUGAAAAGGAUACAAAAUUCGUUUCAAUACCGGAAACAUUUUGGUGGGCGGGUAUUACAAUGACAACUGUUGGCUACGGGGACAUCUAUCCCACUACUGCACUGGGAAAGGUUAUUGGUACUGUGUGUUGCAUAUGCGGUGUUCUGGUAAUCGCUUUGCCUAUUCCCAUCAUAGUUAACAAUUUCGCUGAAUUUUAUAAGAAUCAGAUGAGACGCGAGAAGGCGCUCAAACGCCGUGAGGCGCUCGAUCGUGCCAAACGUGAGGGUAGCAUUGUUUCUUUCCAUCAUAUCAAUCUGAAAGAUGCCUUUGCCAAAUCCAUGGAUCUCAUCGAUGUCAUUGUUGAUACAGGAAGCAAACAAACAAAUGUCGUUCAUCCAAAAUGUAGAAACAGACAGUCAGCAACAAAUAUAGGAAAACAACCUCUAAGUAAAAUUCUGUCAGAAAAGCGCGAAAGUCGCAAUAGAUCCAUAAACAAUUGGCAACGUUUAACAAAAGCCCUACGACGAUCGUUACCCACAGGGCACAAUCUCUCUCAGACGGAUGGGAAUAGCACUGAAGGCGAUUCAACCAGUGGACGAAACCCGGCUACAACAGGAAUUGGUUGCUAUAAGAACUAUGAUCAUGUCUCCAAUCUAAGAAACUCUAAUGUUCCACAUCAUCGUUCUUCAUCAGUACCUGACCAUAAUGAUGCAGUCCCACCCUACUCCUUUGAAAAUCCCAAUGCUCGUCAAACCUCUAUGAUGGCCAUGGAAAGUUAUAAACGCGAACAGCAGGCGUUGCAACAACAGCAGCAGCAACAACAACUGUUGCAAUCUAUUUCACCAGCACUGGCAUUGCCCUCGAAUGCAAUUUCUACAAACGCACCAAGUUCUGCGGGCUUAAUACCAGCUCCACAAACGACAUCUGGUCUUGUAUCAGAUGAUGCUGCUGCCAAUACCUCACAGGCUGGUGAUGACAAUGCUCCAACAUCUAUUAUACCCGUCCAAAUGAUGAUAAAACCAGGGGAAGUGGCAGAGUUGCGUCGCCAGGUGGCGCUUGAAAAUUUGCAAAAUCAACGCAUGGAUAAUUAUGAUCAAGAUGUACCUGUGGAAUUUGAAUGCUGUUUUUGCACAUCAAAGGACUUCAAGGAAUUCACUGAUGCCGAAGGUGUAAUCUCACUUCCAACAUCGGACUUCCAUAAACCAAUUUGUUAUGAAAUGCGGCAAGCGGCUAAUCGUGAUCUACAGCAAACUCUUCCAUUUGGCCUACUGACAACAGCAGCGGCGGUACCCCUACCAACUACCGCAACUAUACCGUCGAGCCAAAUGCAACAGCAGCAGCAGCAACAACAACUCUUAGCUGGCAUUAUCUCAGCCACGACGGGUACAACACAAACUGAAUUGUUAUAUUCUGCCGGCAGCGGAGGCGGUAUUAUACGAGCUCCAAUGCCAUACACUGCCACUGGCGCUGCGCCAAUUUCACAAUCAUCUUCGACCUCAUCGUCGUACGGUACUACAACAUCGACCACAAUAGCGCUGCCAUUAGAUACGCCUCUGAGAUAUCCACCGUACAUAACUAGCAGCAGUAUCAGUUCCACUGUUAAUAACUUCAACCACAACUACAAUAACAACUUCAAUACAACAUCUCUGGGAACUUGCCAUCCGCUGUCAAUGAGCACAAGCCAACAAGGUGCACUACCAGCACUGGGGAACAAUUACAGCAACAAUAAUUUGAAUAAUUUGAAUUUCAAUAACAACAAUGCCGAUCUGGCGAGCGUAGACAGUUCUGAUACGUAUGCCAGUUGUCAAACCCACCCAUUUUUGUCGCAAGGUGAUCUAACGUCCGACUUUAACGACGAGGUGUGUGCCUUAGACAUAGACAUGGACAAUUUGUAUAUAAAUCCGUUGGAAAAAGAUUCGGCCGGUAAUACAACAACCGGUUAUAUGGUCGGUUUGCCGCCUACCCCCUCCUCUGGCCAGAUACGGGCCCACGUCAAGAAGAGUGCCUCGGGUGAUACGGCUUUGCGAAAUUUGGCAGCCGGCGGUCUAAGUCCCAUGGAUGAUGUUUACCAAAGUGCAUUCGAUGCCCACGAUCGUGGUAGUCAUAUUAGUCUUAACGAGAAUCCAGUGCCAAAACAUCGUAAAACACGAUUCCAGCAAAGCUUUACCGUAGCAUUGCCACCCCACUCCGCCGUUAGUGCAAUUGGACAGUCAUCGGCGAAACCACGAGCACGUUUCGAAGACUCGAAGUUAUCGCAUGAAAAUCUGGGAAGUGAAAGCAGUCCUGCGAGUAGUACGGGAAAAAAGAAACGUUCCUCGUUUAUGCCCGGUAAAAGUUUAGCCACUGCCACUAAAUUAAUAAAUCAGCACCUGUUUGGUAUACAAAAUGUUGGACCCAAAGCCAAAUUUGAAAGUAAACAUUCCUCAUCGAUAGACUCUAUAGAUGCAUCGCCAAAUUUAGAACAUCAUCGACGAUCCAAGUCGAUAUUGAAAAAUAAAUCGGAUGUGUCGCGAGUACUGGCAGAUCCUGAAAGUGAACGUCUGCUAGCGGACAAUAUGUCUGGGUCUGGUGUCUCAGAUAAUGGCACUGUCAUGGGCGAGUCUGGCAGUGAUUACUCACCGAAUAAAUUACCUCAUUCAGUUUUAGCUAAGUCAAUAUCCCCACCACCCCUUAGGCAUCGUACCCUAAUGCAACAACGCUCAGGUCCGGCUAAUCUACAAUCGAAACCGACCAAAUUUCAAACACCACGCUAUCCGGAGGAACAAGCCUUACGUCAGGUUAAACCGGUACUGGCCCGUUCCGCCGCAGCAUCUCAUAUGUCCGGUGAUAGUAACCGUUACGAUUCAACGAAUAGAGACAGUAGUUUAGUCAUAUUCGAUGCUGCAUUUUAAUCGAGAUCAUCUUUAAAACUAAAAUUACUCUUUCAAGAACUGCAUGUCUCUAAAACAUUCCAAGCAUUCAGAUUUUUGUUUUGUUAUGGAUACCUCUAAGUUUUGUCAUACCAUUCGCAGAU
rnacentral:misc_RNA from 1 species